rnacentral:rRNA from 1 species
CAUUAUUGGAUUCUUGUAAAGGGGGAGUCGGUGCUGGCGUCUAGCAAGUGCACGGCUCUCCCGAUGCAAAUGACACCUGUGCAUGCCUGACCUGCUCGUGCAGGUCCAUCACAUACUCUCUUGAAGACCCUCGUAUGUAUUUGGAUUGCAAAUGGAUUUGGACAACUUUCAACAACGGAUCUCUUGGCUCUCGCAUCGAUGAAGAACGCAGCGAAAUGUGAUAAGUAAUGUGAAUUGCAGAAUUCAGUGAAUCAUCGAAUCUUUGAACGCACCUUGUGCCCUUUGGACAUCCAAGGGGCAUGCCUGUUUGAGUGUCUUGAAGCUCUCAAGCCAACCUACCUUUGUCGAGGUGGUUGUUGGUUUGGACUUUGGAUGCAUUUGCUGGACUUGUCGUUGAGACCAGCUCAUCCGAAAUGCAUUUGCUGGCCUGCUGGUCCGUGAACUCGGUGUGAUAAGCAUCACUCGCUGGGUGUAAUGGACUUUGAAAAGCCGCUUUGUUCCCCCCCGUGGACAAGUGAUUUGACCUCAAAUCAGGUAGGAUUACCC